AAAAAACUAAAACACAACGUCAUAAGAAAGAAUAACCAUCAAAAUAUAAUAAUAAUACGUUUCUUUGCUGCUGAGCGUUUACAACAUCUUAGGAGGUGGUCGAAUUGUACUUCGAGUCCGUACUGCACCAGGUAUUCUUGGGAUGCAGAUUUUAGGAGGUCCUUUUCCAUUUAAAACCUGAUUUUGUUGAUCAUGGAUCCGAUCAUCCACACAUGGAUCAUGUUGGGCAUGUAUUUGAUACUUCGCAACAUCUGCGAGAGAGAAGACAACUGCAAGAAACAAAACUAGUACAUGUAAAUAAGACAUCGUUCCACCUUCUUACCGGCUUUAUAGAGUUGGGAUUUUAUUUUGGGUGUGUGUUUGUUUAUAGACUCGUAUCCAAUAUAUAAUGAGGUCUAUCCACAUCUUGUUCAUUUCUAUUUCAUUUUAAUUUUAAUUUUAUUUUAAUAAAAUCUUAAAGAAGCAUGUAGUACGACACUUCCCACGUUUUUGACUAAUUUAAAGGUUGCAAGACUUCUAUUUAAUAGGAG
rnacentral:lncRNA from 1 species